rnacentral:rRNA from 1 species
GACGAACGCUGGCGGCGUGCCUAAUACAUGCAAGUCGAGCGAAGCGGCGGAUGGGUGAGUACCGCGUGGGUAACCUGCCCUUCAGUCUGGGAUACCAUCUAGAACCACAUGCUAAUACCGGAUACUUAAGGAUGGACUUGCGAGGCAUUAGCUCGUUGGUAAGGUAACGGCUUACCAAGGCGUUGAUGCAUAGCCGAGUUGAGAGACUGAUCGGCCAAAUUGGAACUGAGACACGGCCCAACCUCCUACGGGAGGCAGCAGUAGGGAAUCUUCCACAAUGGACGAAAGUCUGAUGGAGCAACGCCGCGUGAGUGAAGAAGGUUUUCGGAUCGUAAAGCUCUGUUGUUGGUGAAGCGGUAAUCAACCAGAAAGUCACGGCUAACUACGUGCCAGCAGCCGCGGUAAUAC